rnacentral:rRNA from 1 species
CCCUUAGAUGUUCUGGGCCGCACGCGUGCUACACUGAGUGGAUCAGCGGGUCAGGUUGCGCGAAAGUGUUUCCUAAUCUUGAAAUCCGCUCGUGAUGGGGAUUGACGGUUGCAAUUUUCCGUCAUGAACGAGGAAUACCUUGUAAGCGCGGGUCAUCAUCCCGCGCUGAAUACGUCCCUGCCCUUUGUACGCACCGCCCGUCGCUCCUACCGAUUGAGUGGUCCGGUGAGGCUUUGGGAUCUGAGCAAAGAGAGCGUUUCGCUCGUUUUGCCCGGAAAACUCAGUCGAACCUUAUCAUUUAGAGGAAGGAGAAGUCGUAACA